rnacentral:lncRNA from 1 species
CAAAGUUUUUGAAGAUGACAGUGCAGCACCAUCAAUUCCUUGCACAACGAGCAGUGUUCCCAUGUGGUCAAUGCCUUACACAAUGGGACAAUGCUUCGCCAAAUGGAAGUUCUGUCAAGACGGACUCGGUGGACGUCGUAUUAUAUCCUCUCCUUCUGCAGUGCUCGGAUCUUCAGCAUUAUCAUUCUGUCCAGCGGGAUUGAUGAACACCUGGGGGAAAGAACUACUUGCUGAUGAGGUUGAUUCAGGGGACAUGUACUAUGUAUUUCUGGGUAAAGCAAGAUCAAUUCAUUCCACACGAGCAGGAGCCGAAUUGAAGAUCUGCGAUGAUGGACUCGGUGGAGUUUGUGUUAUAACCUCUCCUUCUGCAGUGCUCGGAGCUUCGGCAUCAUCAUUCUGUCCAGUGGGAUUGGGAUUGGCGUUGGAUGCUUCCUGUUAAGAGAAUCCCCCCUUUCUGUGAGGAGGAAAUCAUUGAUGAAUUUUUAUGUGGAACUGAGAAAUAGUAGC